rnacentral:rRNA from 1 species
CGGCUCCUUAAGUUAGAUGUAAAAUCUUCUGACUCAAUCAGAAGGUGUCAUUUAAUACUGAGGGGCUCGAGAGCAGCAGAGGGAAAUGGAAUUUCCGGUGUAGCGGUGAAAUGCGUAGAUAUCGGGAAGAACACCAGUGGCGAAGGCGAUUUCCCAGGCUGUUUCUGACGUUGAGGCUCGAAAGCGUGGGGAGCGAAGCAGAUUAGAUACCCGCAUAGUCCACGCCUUAAACGGUGGACAUUAGAUAUGGGAGGUAUCGACCCUUUCUGUGUCGAAGCUAACGCUUUAAGUGUCCCGCCUGGGGAGUACGGCCGCAAGGUUGAAACUCAAAGGAAUUGACGGGGGCCCGCACAAGCAGCGGAGCGUGUGGUUUAAUUCGAUGCUACGCGAAGAACCUUACCAGAGCUUGACAUGACAGAAGUAGGAAUCCGAAAGGAGGACGACCUGUAUCCAGUCAGGAGCUGUCACAGGUGCUACAUGGCUGUCGUCAGCUCGUGCCGUGAGGUGUUGGGUUAUGUCCCGCAACGAGCGCAACCCUUGUCCUAUGUUAAAUUCUCAUAGGAGACUGCCUUGUACAGCAAGGAGGAAGGAAAGGAUGACGUCAAGUCAGCACGGCCUUUAUGCCCUGGGCUACACACACGCUACAAUGGAUGAUACAGAGGGUUGCCAAGGAGCGAUCCGGAGCUAAUCCCUAAAAAUCAUCCUCAGUUCUGAUUGCAGGCUGAAAUCGCCUGCAUGAA